UGAAUUAAAGGAACAGUUUAUUUAUAGGUAAUAUCCACAUUUGAUUCACUUGUAUUCCAUUCAGUAUCCAUCAUAUUUGUUUUCCAUUUAAUAUAUAUUCCUCCCACAUAGAGUCACACACACAGAGUACAUGUUAAACAAGUAUUUAAUUUGUAGCUGCAAUAGACAUAUGUUACAAGGUAUAAAGCAAAUAGUGCACAAUAUGCUAAACUAUUAUUUUAGAGGUGAAGGAAGAGAAAUAUUUAAGUUAUCUAAUGUCAGUAAAUGACGCACACCCAGUGUUUCCAUAUUAUAUUCCAUUUGUUAUAUUUUGGGAGUUUCCUUGUAAAGCCGUAUAAAUACAAGUCCAUCUGUUCCUACCGGGGCUGAAAAAACAUGCACAUCAUAAUAAAUGAAGGCUCAAAUCGAGAUACACUUCAUGUGAAAUGAUCUCUUUCUAUUCAGAGCUCUAUCUGGCAACCUCUCUAAUUUACCUACAGUCUAUAUAUCAACGAGAGUUAUGAAAUGUUGGUAAAUACCUAGGAAACUACACAUUUCCAAGUAACACACUGACUGCUGAGAGAAGUCCAUCAGUGAGGAUAGAAGGGUAAAAGGGACAUUCCACAGCCCCUGUCUCCUCUGGGGUGUGGGGAUCUGAUGGAUGAGCCAGCAGCUGGGGAUUAAGCAAUCCAUGACGAGCAAGAAGGCUAUCCCAACAUAUCAGCAUCUUGUCACACAUGUGCCUCCACCUCGCAUAUCUCGCAUCCGCUCUUACACACCUCAGGCUUAGCUGCCAGUAUUACACGUUUCUCCCUUUUCAGCCCACUCAAAUCAUCACUGAGCUCUGCCGUCAUUUGUUUCAAGCACAGUACCACGAAAGCCGCUCCUGCCCUCCUCCUCCUGAAAUGCUGGACAGCGACAUGUCUUGGUGGUGAAGUGACGUGCUGGAUGGAGGCUCAGCGAGUCAGGGCUUGGGUCCAGGAGACCAGGAAGCAUUUCAGGGUGGACACACUGCCUUCUUCUGCACGCUGCUGUUAUGUCCCCCCACAGACGCUGUGCUUCAAGGGAAAUAGUCUUGUAGCUAUAGAAGAUGCAUAAAGGGAAAUAAAAGCAAAGGAAGAAAGACUGCUAAGAAAGCAGGAGGGAGGAGGAGGAGGAGAAGGCAGGGCAGUGAUCAGUAACCAAUCCGAGCUGCCCCAAUGAGCUGCAGCAGCACAGCAGACAAGCACAG